UACAGGUAGUACAAGUGGUAUCCGUGAAUAUUGGGCUUAAAGCGCCCGUAGCGGGCUCGGCAAGUUCUCUGUGAAAUCUUCAGGCUCAACCUGAAGGCGUGCAGGGAAUACUACCGGGCUUGGGAGUGGGGGAGGCCAAGGGUACUGCAGGGGGAGGAGUAAAAUCCUGUAAUCCUUGCAUGACCUUCAGUAGCGAAGGCGCUUGGCCAAAACACGUCCGACCGUGAGGGGCGAAGGCUAGGGGA
rnacentral:rRNA from 1 species